rnacentral:rRNA from 1 species
UGCAUGCCGCGUGAGUGAAGAAGGCCUUCGGGUUGUAAAGCUCUUUUGUCAGGGAAGAAACACCGGCUCUAACACAGUCCGGGAAUGACGGUACCUGAAGAAUAAGCACCGGCUAACUACGUGCCAGCAGCCGCGGUAAUACGUAGGGUGCGAGCGUUAAUCGGAAUUACUGGGCGUAAAGCGUGCGCAGGCGGUUAUACAAGACAGGCGUGAAAUCCCCGGGCUUAACCUGGGAAUGGCGCCUGUGACUGUAUGGCUAGAGUGUGUCAGAGGGGGGUAGAAUUCCACGUGUAGCAGUGAAAUGCGUAGAUAUGUGGAGGAAUACCAAUGGCGAAGGCAGCCCCCUGGGAUAACACUGACGCUCAUGCACGAAAGCGUGGGGAGCAAACAGGAUUAGAUACCCUGGUAGUCCACGCCCUAAACGAUGCUGACUAGUUGUUCGGGAUUUACAUCCUGAGUAACGUAGCUAACGCGUGAAGUCAGCCGGCUGGGGAGUACGGUCGCAAGAUUAAAACUCCAAGGAAUUGACGGGGAACCGGACAAGCGGUGGAUGAUGUGGAUUAAUUCGAUUG